AAGCGGGAAGAGCUCAAAUUUAUAAUCUGGCACCUUCGGUGUCCGAGUUGUAAUCUCUAGAAAUGUUUUCCGCGUUGGACCGCACACAAGUCUGUUGGAAUACAGCGGCAUAGUGGUGAGACCCCCGUAUAUGGUGCGGACGCCCAGCGCUUUGUGAUACAUUUUCGAAGAGUCGAGUUGUUUGGGAAUGCAGCUCAAAUUGGGUGGUAAAUUCCAUCUAAAGCUAAAUAUUGGCGAGAGACCGAUAGCGAACAAGUACCGUGAGGGAAAGAUGAAAAGCACUUUGGAAAGAGAGUUAACAGUACGUGAAAUUGUUGGAAGGGAAACGCUUGAAGUCAGACUUGCUUGCCGAGCAAUCGGUUUGCAGGCCAGCAUCAGUUUUCCGGGAUGGAUAAUGGUAGAGAGAAGGUAGCAGUUUCGGCUGUGUUAUAGCUCUCUGCUGGAUACAUCUUGGGGGACUGAGGAACGCAGUGUGCCUUUGGCGGGGGUUU
rnacentral:rRNA from 1 species